UACGAAGGGGGCUAGCGUUGCUCGGAAUCACUGGGCGUAAAGGGCGCGUAGGCGGCCAAGUAAGUUGGGGGUGAAAGCCCGUGGCUCAACCACGGAAUUGCCUUCGAUACUGCUUGGCUUGAGACCGGAAGAGGUGAGUGGAACUGCGAGUGUAGAGGUGAAAUUCGUAGAUAUUCGCAAGAACACCAGUGGCGAAGGCGGCUCACUGGUCCGGAUCUGACGCUGAGGCGCGAAAGCGUGGGGAGCAAACGGG
rnacentral:rRNA from 1 species